GCAUCCCAAUCCUCCACGCCAUCAGCGACGUCCCAAGGAUCUCGCGAUUAGCCCAGACGCGUCUCCAGCUCCCAGUCCGCCCUUACAGCACCAACUUGAUUGUCCCAGGCCGUCCACGUCUUCAGCGCAUCCCCACCACGCCUCACAGCCAUCCAGCCAAUUUCCCAAUCCUCCACGCCAUCAACGCAAUCGAAGCAACGUUUCUUCUCCCAGCAGCCAUCCGUUUCUUCUCUUCCGAGUUCCAGCUCCUUCUCGUGAAGCCAGCGAAUCCCAUAUGCAGCGUCCCAGCCGAUUCAAGGAGCCGCUUCAGCCGCCCGUGAUUCUCCCCCGAAAUCCCAGCAUCCCAGCCUCUUCUCCCGUCCGUAUUCAUCAUCCACGGAUCCGCUCCUCCCAGCACCGAUUUCGGUCGCCCGUUUCAAAGAUCCACAGCUUCAUCCCGUGCGGAAACAAGGGGGAAGAAAGGAUCCCACGCCCACUUCUAAUCCGGCGUCCACAAAGCUUCCGGAUUCCACAUCUCUUCCAGAUUUGAAAUCCCAAGCGUCCGAGCUCCAUGGAUCACGCCGGCCGGUCCAGCCUCCUCCGCAUCCAAGCACCCGCGGCGCUCUUCAUCCGGAUCCACCUCCCGAGAUCCCGCGGCCGUUUCUCCUCCUCUCCAUGCGCAAUCAAGGGAUCCAUGCUCUGGCGAUCUAUAAGAAGGGGAGAACGAGAGGAGGAGGGGGGUCCUCGGUUGGGGUUGAGGCCAAGAAACAGAGAGGAGGAGGGGAGGUUCUCGGCUUGGUGAGGGGAAGCUCUGUUCAAAAGAAACAGAGGAGGAGCUCUGUUUUCCGAGAAGAAGGAAGAAAAAAAAUAAUAUUUUAUUUUUUUUAGUGUUCAACUGAGAGGGGUUACUUGUUCCCUUGUUUUCAUUUUUUUUUCCUUCUUACUUUUGCAAGCAUUUUCCUUUUUAUGCAAGCUAUUAAAUUUUCUUUUAUGCAAUCCAUGUUAUAGGUUUUGUUUAAUUUCUGUUCUUUUAUGCAAU
rnacentral:lncRNA from 1 species